rnacentral:rRNA from 1 species
GAUGAACGCUGGCGGCGUGCCUAAUACAUGCAAGUCGAGCGAACGGACGAGAAGCUUGCUUCUCUGAUGUUAGCGGCGGACGGGUGAGUAACACGUGGAUAACCUACCUAUAAGACUGGGAUAAUUUCGGGAAACCGGAGCUAAUACCGGAUGAUAUUUUGCACCGCAUGGUUCAAAAGUGAAAGACGGCCUUGCUGUCACUUAUCGAUGGUUCCGCGCUGCAUUAGCUAGUUGGUACGGUAACGGCUUACCAAGGCAACGAUGCAUAGCCGACCUGAGAGGGUGAUCGGCCACACUGGAACGGAGACACGGUCCAGACUCCUACGGGAGGCAGCAGUAGGGAAUCUGCCGCAGUGGUCGAAAGCCUUACGGAGCAACGCCACGUGAGUGAUGAAGGUCUUCGGAUCGUAAAACUCUGUUAUUAGGGAAGAACAUAUGUGUAAGUAACUGUGCACAUCUUGACGGUACCGAAUCAGAAAGCCACGGCUAACUACGUG